rnacentral:lncRNA from 1 species
UUUCGCUCCAGCCUGAGCUCGGUUAGGGCCUCGCCGUCCUGCUUCCACCCCUCAGGGAGGCCUCCGUGAUUCGGCCUCAGCCUCCGUCGCUCUGUGACCUGUGGGUAUUGGAUGAUUCCUAGCUGAGACUCUGCUACACCCCUGAAGUGGGGAAAUGGUGAGUGUGUGGGGCAGGUCCUCCCGAGGCGACUGGGGAGGCCUCAUCAGAACCGACGGGAAAUGGCGGCGGCGGGACCGAGUCUGUGAAGAGAGUCCCCUCUGCCGCCGCUCAGCCCUCGGGCCUCAGCCCCCUCCGGUGAGGGACUCUGGUUUCUGUCGGUUCC